GAUGAACGCUAGCUACAGGCUUAACACAUGCAAGUCGAGGGGCAGCGGGAUUGAAGCUUGCUUCAAUUGCCGGCGACCGGCGCACGGGUGAGUAACGCGUAUCCAACCUUCCGUACACUCAGGGAUAGCCUUUCGAAAGAAAGAUUAAUACCUGAUGGUAUCUUAAGCACACAUGUAAUUAAGAUUAAAGAUUUAUCGGUGUACGAUGGGGAUGCGUUCCAUUAGGUAGUAGGCGGGGUAACGGCCCACCUAGCCAACGAUGGAUAGGGGUUCUGAGAGGAAGGUCCCCCACAUUGGAACUGAGACACGGUCCAAACUCCUACGGGAGGCAGCAGUGAGGAAUAUUGGUCAAUGGACGAGAGUUCUGAACCAGCCAAGUAGCGUGCAGGAUGACGGCCCUAUGGGUUGUAAACUGCUUUUAUAAGGGAAUAAAGUGAGUCUGUGAGGCUUUUUGCAUGUACCUUAUGAAUAAGGACCGGCUAAUUCCGUGCCAGCAGCCGCGGU
rnacentral:rRNA from 1 species